GAGGUGUGCAGGCUGACGGGGCAGGUCCCGUCGGUGGUGGUGACGUGGUCGGUGAUCGUCGGCAUGGGUUCCGUUCUACUCCGCGGCGCUGCAC
rnacentral:tRNA from 1 species